rnacentral:rRNA from 1 species
AAUGGGUUAGACCCAUGGCAAACGGGAGCGUAACACAUUGGUAAUCUACCCCGAAGUUUAGAAUAAUCCCGCGAAAGCGGGGAUAAUACUGGAUGUGCUCGGCAGGAAUAUUUCUGCCGCGUAAAGAUUUAUCGCUUCGGGAGGAGCCUAUGGCCUAUCAGCUAGUUGGCGGAGUAAAAGCCCACCAAGGCUAUGACGGGUAUCGGGUGUGAGAGCACGACCCGACUCACUGGGACUGAGAACUGCCCAGACACCUACGGGUGGCUGCAGUCAAGAAUAUUCCUCAAUGGACGAAAGUCUGAAGGAGCGACGCCGCGUGACUGAUGAAGUCUUUCGGGAUGUAAAGGUCUUUUCUAAGGGAAGAAUAAAUGACGGUACCUUAGGAAUAAGAGGUUGCUAACUCUGUGCCAGCAGCAGCGGUAAUACAGAGACCUCGAGCGUUAUCCGGAUUGAUUGGGCGUAAAGCGUGCGCAGGCGGCUUUUUAAGUCGACGGUUAAAUCCUACAGCUCAACUGUGGAACUGCCGCCGAAACUGAAAAGCUAGAGUGCGGAAGAGGCGAGCGGAAUUGCCGGUGUAACGGUAAAAUGUGUUAAUAUCGGCAAGAACACCAGAGGCGAAAGCGGCUCGCUGGUACGCAACUGACGCUGUUGCACGAAAGCGUGGGGAGCGAAUGGGAUUAGAUACCCCAGUAGUCCACGCCCUAAAACGAUGGAUAUUAGUCAUUGGCAGUAU